rnacentral:snRNA from 1 species
GGAUGUGAGGGAGAUCUGGCUGUGACAUCUGUUACCCCAUUGAUCUUCAGGGUUGAUUUGGCUGAUCUGGAUGGCUGUUCCCUUCCUCCCUCACUGCCCCAUGUGCAUGCAUGAGUGCUAGGUUGGACCAGAUAGAUAUGACUCUAUCCUGGAUAAAGAUGAACUGUUUUUUUGGUUAAGGGUAUAAGAGUAGUCACACUCCCCUACUAGAACCUCCAAACAACCUCCCGACUUAGGCAGCUUCCAGGCUUCUGCUAAUUUAAGGGAAGACUUUUUAAAAAACUGUUAUGGUCU